CCCACGAAUCGCGCGAGGGAACUGCGACUGGACGCGCGGAACACGCAGCGCCCGAGGAGUUGCCAGGGGCUGCAGAUGGCGCUUCCUUUUCACUGGUCAAGAGCCAUGAAGGCCGGGUGAAGGGCCUCGCGGGCCGCGGACCCCCGCUUACCUGUGGCCCGGAUCCCACCCGCACACCUGCGGCACCUCACGCUGAGGAGCUGGAACCUCCGCAGCCACCUGCGCGCACCCACCCGGAUCCACUAGGGCCGAAACCACUUCCGGUCCUGCGACGGGCUCGGGGGACGUCAUCCCCGCCGGGGUGAUCAAGUGGGCGGCGCCAUCUUGUACGGAAGCUGCUGGGGCAGCGGUUGCCUGGCCAGUUUCUUCACUGGGGAACAAAGGGUCGGUUACAAUUCGAAAAGCUUAUAACGUCUCUUGAGAAACAUGGUGUUUUCUUUUUGUUUCCAGGGUGAAGUUUUUUUUCUGGAACCCUCACAAAUGCCAUAGGGAAACAUCUAAUUAUCAUUACUAAUUAGCUCCAGGAGUGUUUUUCUGCUGUAUUAAUUUACUUAACUGUUAAAUAAUGAAGGUAAAUAGGAGGGACACUUGUUUAAAUAAUGUAUUGCUCACUAGCAGUGUAUUUUGUACUAUAGCCAUUAUAAUAAUUUAUGCCUUCUUUUGUAACAACCACAAUACCUUCCGUUUAUAUUGAAAAUAGUUCACUCAGCCAGUCUUUAUCAGCAAUAAAGUAUGUGCUGCAGCUGG